UACAGAGGUCCCAAGCGUUGUUCGGAUUCACUGGGCGUAAAGGGUGCGUAGGCGGUCGGGUAAGUCUGAUGUGAAAUCUCACAGCUUAACUGUGAAACUGCAUUGGAUACUAUCCGGCUCGAGGAAUGGAGGGGAGACUGGAAUACUUGGUGUAGCAGUGAAAUGCGUAGAUAUCAAGUGGAACACCAGUGGCGAAGGCGAGUCUCUGGACAUUUCCUGACGCUGAGGCGCGAAAGCGUGGGUAGCAAACAGG
rnacentral:rRNA from 1 species